CACGCUAAGGUUUGAGGAGUAUUGUUCUGAAGACCAGAACACAGCUAUUGUCUGAGAGGGACCGGCUGAGCCCUGUGGGAUCUGGAUCUGAAAUGGGACUGGUAUUUAUCUCAUUGUUCUGUCGUGAGUAUGGCAGGAGAUGAUGCACCUGAGGUGACUAAUACAAUGCCUGGUGGACAGCAGACAUUCCAGGGAAACAUUAUCAUGAUAGAGCUCUGCUCACCAGUCAAGGCCCUGGGUGUGUUCAGUCACCUCUGACCUCUGACUUCUGGCCCUGACCUCUGCAUACAAGCCAUGCUUCACUCCAAGUCGGUACAUAGAAAAUUUUAAGAGCUAGUAGGGCCCUUUGAGGUUAUUUUGUUAUGUAGACUUCCAGCAUUUGUUUUAGCUGCUAAACACUUUUUUCUAAAGAAUGUUAUCUUGAAAGCUCAAUAUGUGAAACAGACCAAUGUGGAAAUGCUAUGGUUGAUAGAUAGGGUCAGGAGGGCGUACUUCUUCUGCUGGAGGGCUUUGCACCUGCUGCUCCUUCUGACUGGAAUGCAAUUCCAUCCUCCGCUGCCCCACUAGCCUAGUUAAGUAUUACUUUUCCUUUGGGUCCUAACACCCAAAUAACACCUCUUCCUGGAAGCCUCCCUGACUUUCCUGUAACUAAAUGAGUCCUUCUUGCUAUAAAUCUGUAGCCCUAGGUACCUCUAUUUGCUAGCACACAUCCAGUUGUAAAUUUACAUCUAUUAAUGUUUAUUUCUCCUACUAGACUAUGAAUAAAGUAGAGGCAUUUGUUCACCAUUA